rnacentral:rRNA from 3 species
AAGUGCAGUAAUGCAUGGAGCUGACUGUUACUAAUCGGGUGAGGGCUUGACCAA